GACGAACGCUGGCGGCGUGCUUAACACAUGCAAGUCGAACGAAGUGGCGAACGGGUGAGUAAUGUGUAAUCAACCUGCCCUUCAGAGGGGGACAACAGUUGGAAACGACUGCUAAUACCGCAUACUGAAUGAGGGGUUUGCGUCUGAUUAGCUAGUUGGAGGGGUAACGGCCCACCAAGGCGAUGAUCAGUAGCCGGGCUGGGAGGAUGUACGGCCACAUUGGGGCUGGGACAAGGCCCCAACUCCUACGGGAGGCAGCAGUGGGGGAACUUCCGCAAUGGACGAAAGUCUGACGGAGCAACGCCGCGUGAGUGAUGACGGCCUUCGGGUUGUAAAACUCUGUUAAUCGGGACGCGGUACCUGAAUAGAAAGCCACGGCUAACUACGUGCCAGCAGCCGCGGUAAUAC
rnacentral:rRNA from 1 species